GAUCGAUGGCAUCGAGUGUGACGCGACUCACCUAAGAAGUGAUGUGUUGUUGGUUGGAAGCAGAGCUCUGGACGUGUGGACAGAUGUUGACUGUAAUGAUGGACAUCUGCUCAUGGACAGUCUGUGCAAAAGUAUAACCGCUGCGGGUCACAGUGCUGGAAGCUCCAGGGGGAGACCGUACUGAUAUCCCCCUUCUUCAGGCGCGCCUUCACACACACACACUCCUCCAUUCACUCGUAUCGCAGAGACCUGGCUGGGAUCGAACCAGCAACCUCUGAACCGUGAGGCAGCGCUCUUACCUGCGAGCCACAGAUCUCUUGCUGGAGCACCUGAAGGAACUUAUAUUUGACUGUUUACCUGUGAUUUCCCAAUAAAGCACUUAAAGUGAUCAGAGGGGUUUGAACCCGUGUCUCCAUCACAGCCUUGUGUUCAGAGAACAUGUGUUCAUCCACCGGACCGUCAUGAAUUCGAGGUGUUUGUUGACUUUGUUGGAUGAGAUCAGUUUAAUGUGAGCAGUAGUGAGAUUUGAAUCAGAUCUCCACGAUUAAAACAGAGCUUUAUCUCCUGCACCACUGAGUCUGUGAGGUUUUGAACAGGAUUUUAUUGAGAGAUUUGUUGUGAAUGAUGCAUAACUUUAUCAGCUUGGGAUCUGAACCCAGACCUUUGUGUUUGAGACGGAAAUCUUUAACCACUGAGACACAGAAGCUGUGAUGUUGUGCUGGGGAUGUUUUCAGGAUCAUAAAGAUUUUAAGUUGAUCUGAACAUAAGUUUAUGCUGAGUAAAAGACAAUCACUUCAUCUGUAGGAUUUGAUCACGUGUCUCUUGUGGUUUCAUGAUCCUAAGACAGCGUUUAACCACUGGGUUCACCACUAUUUUUGGUCCAUUACAUUAGAAUUUAUUACUUUUAUUCUU